rnacentral:rRNA from 1 species
GACGAACGCUGGCGGCGUGCUUAACACAUGCAAGUCGAGCGGUAAGGCCCUUUCGGGGGUACGCGAGCGGCGAACGGGUGAGUAACACGUGGGUGACCUGCCCUCAGCUCUGGGAUAAGCCUGGGAAACCGGGUCUAAUACCGGAUAUGACUCCAUGACGCAUGUUGUGGGGUGGAAAGCCUUGUGCGGCUGAGGAUGGGCCCGCGGCCUAUCAGCUUGUUGGUGGGGUGAUGGCCUACCAAGGCGACGACGGUAGCCGGCCUGAGAGGCGACCGGCCACACUGGGACUGAGACACGGCCCAGACUCCUACGGGAGGCAGCAGUGGGGAAUCUUGCGCAAUGGGCGAAAGCCUGACGCAGCGACGCCGCGUGAGGAUGACG